rnacentral:rRNA from 1 species
AGCUUUGGACAAUGGGCGCAAGCCUGACCCAGCCAUGCCGCGUGAGUGAAGAAGGCCUCUGGGUUGUAAAUCUCUUUCGGACGGAAAGAAAUCGCGUCGGCUAAUACCCUCCGCGGCUGACGGUACCGUCAUAAGAAGCACCGGCUAACUACGUGCCAUCAGCCGCGGUAAUACGUAGGGUGCGAGCGUUAAUCGGAAUUACUGGGCGUAAAGCGUGCGCAGGCGGUUGAUUAAGACAGGCGUGAAAUCCCCGGGCUUAACCUGGGAACUGCGCUUGUGACUGGGCAGCUAGAGUACGGCAGAGGGGGGUGGAAUUCCACGUGUAGCAGUGAAAUGCGUAGGGAUGUGGAGGAACACCGAUGGCGAAGGCAGCCCCCUGGGCCGAUACUGACGCUCAUGCACGAAAGCGUGGGUAGCAAACAGG